GACGAACGCUGGCGGCGUGCCUAACACAUGCAAGUCGAGCGGAGUUAGUUUGUAGCUUGCUACAAACUAACUUAGCGGCGGACGGGUGAGUAACGCGUGGAUAACCUGCCUUUUACAGGGGGAUAACACAGGGAAACUUGUGCUAAUACCGCAUAACAUAUCGAAGUGGCAUCACUUUGGUAUCAAAGGAGUAAUCCGGUAGAAGAUGGAUCCGCGUCCGAUUAGCUAGUUGGCGGGGUAACGGCCUACCAAGGCGACGAUCGGUAGCCGAACUGAGAGGUUGAUCGGCCACAUUGGGACUGAGACACGGCCCAGACUCCUACGGGAGGCAGCAGUGGGGAAUAUUGCGCAAUGGGGGAAACCCUGACGCAGCAACGCCGCGUGAAGGAAGAAGGCUUUCGGGUUGUAAACUUCUUUAGUCGGGGACGAAAUGAUGACGGUACCCGAAGAAUAAGCCACGGCUAACUACGUGCCAGCCGCCGCCGUAA
rnacentral:rRNA from 1 species